UUGGAGGAUCCUUGUCCCCCAUGAAAAGGGCUGCUGAGCUUACCUCUAAGUUCUAAUAACAUCCAAACGAUGUCGUUCACCUUUUUUUUUUUCCUGAUCUGCCCUCGCGUUUUUUCACUCGCGCGCGAUUCUCUCACAGUAUCGAUCAAACUCCACCCAAAUUGCAAUGCGUCUCGGUUUUCUCAAACCCUAGCUUUCUCUUUGUUUACUGUUAUCUGCAUCAACAAGCUACUGUCCCUCAAAUCUCCGUUGCGUUGGUUUCUUACCCUGAGUCUCUGAUCAAGCUGGUUGGCAUUGUUGUUGGUGUCAUGAACUACCACGAGAACAAGUUGGUUGUUGCCGUCAUUGUAGGACCAAUGGGCUAUUCCAGCCGGCAAGGCAAUGAUAUCUCCUUGGCGGAUACGUCGGACCUUUUGGUGCUGGUCCCUUGACCUCUGAGAUGUUCUUCCUUCCUGAGAUUGCUGGAAAGAUUGGUAGGUUUCUGGGCAGCCAGGAAUCAUGGUGCCGAGUAAACCUUGACCUAUUCAUAUAUAGGUAACAAUAAAUGUCAAGGAUAUAGAAUUCAUAUUAAAUGUCAAGAAUAUGUGAUUAAGGGCUUGCCUUGAAGAACAUAGACUAGCAUGGGAGCAUUGUUGAAGGACGGCAAGAGUAAGCCUCUUGGCUCAAUAAGAUGACGAGUUGCUGCCACGCCGGCACACUGCAACUGGUCAUUGUUCUGGUCCCAUUCUUCCGAAACGCCUGCCUCGUGCUGGAUGCGGCGAGCUGGUUCCAGCGGAUUGAGGUUUUGGACACGGCAUUCGUUCUGUUGUUGUUGCUGUGAUCGAGAAGAUUGGCGUUGGGCUAGGCUGUCGUGGCCUAGAAGGAGAAGGCAGAGAAUGAUGGAGAGCAAAGAAGAGUUGGCCAUGGACAUGUAUGUACAAAUUAAGAAGCGUGUCUUAAUUUGUGGUUUGAUGAUGGCGAGACUGUUGUCUGUGGAGGGAAUUUAUAGGGAAAGAAAAUGAGGGUUAGGUUAUAACAGGUGUGAGGGGUUGUCUGUCACAAUGUCAUCUCUGCAUGGUUUUUGAACUGAAUGUGAUACGCGGCAAUUUGGUUAAUCAGGUGGCAAUUUCUGCAGGAGCUUUCGUCUUUGUUAAUAUUGCAUGAGAAGUGGUGUUGCCGCGUAGCAGAAGAAGAAUACAAGGAAGACCUGGUGGUGUUGGUAAUGUCUGAUAAGAGUGAUAGUUACACAUGAAUGCAACAAGACUAACACAUUUACCCACACGACGACAAGAUAAGUAAUGUACCCAUAUCAGCCCAUGGGUUUUUGCAUUUGCUUAAUGGGGUGCCUUUUGGUGGCUUCGGCUGCAUUUUACCAAUAUACUUUGCUUGAAUGUAAUAUAUUUGUGUCUACUAACUUAGAAGUAUUCGAAUCUGAUAAUCUAUUAGAUUAAUAGAUUGGAUUUGCAUUAUGAUAAAUCAGAUCUGACCAGAUAUAGUACAUAAUAUCUUAUUAUGUAUUUUUAAUUUUUGUAAUGUUGAUAAAUAAAUGAAUCUAAAAAUGUCAUGCAUGUGAUAAAUGUAGAUCAAGUAACUUGGAUUUGGAUUGGUUAAUGAAUAAUUGCAGCUUACCGGAAUUGGAACAAAUUCUGCAAAAUCCCGACCAAUGUCCGAUUUGUUGACAUGCAUGUCUACCAACAAGCUUCACAAUCAGGAAAAAAAUAAUAAUAAAUAAAAAAACAAGCUUAACAAUUGUAGUAAAUGAAAUAUUUAUAAAAGAAAAAAAGAAAGAAAAGAGGUGAUCUGCGUGUGUGGGAUAUUAUAUAUAUAUAUAUAUAUA